AUGGGGGCUGGGGGGAGGGGAAGGGAAAGGGAUCCCUGCUGGAAACCCCUGACGCUCACACACCGGUACGUUCUCUCGGCGGGCGGGCAGGUAAUCGCGGGCGAACGACCUGCUGCGCCCCAGCGUGGGCAAAAGCGCGGGACUGGAGCUUUUGCAGGGCGGAGCGCGCGCACUUGUCCUUGUCUGUCUUCCUUCCUUCCUUCCUUCCUUCCUUCCUUCCUUCCUUCCCCGGGGCUGGGCAGGCGGCGCUGCGAAGCAGCUCUUGCUGGGGGGGGGGCACCUUCGCCAACGCUGCUGCAGUCGGCGGCCUCGCUCGGCCGCGGCGAGCGCCAGGGGCGCCAAGAAGAACCAAAGGCCGAGAAGGAGAAGAGCCGCCGCCGCCGGGGUUCCGCCGGGCGAGAGCGGCCACGAGGCGCCCCUUUGGCUCCGCGUCCAAACAGCCGCGCUGUGCCGCCGGCGCGGCGGAGUCGCUCUCCGCUCGCCCGCUCGCUGCGAACGGCGGCGUCUCCGCCCCUUUCGACACCCGACCCGCCUCCCUCCUGCUGGCGACCGUGUGAAGCGAGCGGGGCAGCCGCGGCGGGCAGCGAGGCGAGAGGAGGCGGACGAUCCAGACGACGGGGCGGCGGGAGGCAGAGAGCGACGGCGCUUCGAGCGGAAGGGACGCGAAGAGGCGAGCGGGCGGCAUGAAUACUCCUCUUGUAUGCCGCUUGGAGCGUCUUUUUGGUUAGACAUCAGUUAAGAAGACCUUCAGUGUAGAAAUGCAUCACCAGAC
ensembl:lncRNA